rfam:Candidatus Gottesmanbacteria bacterium RIFCSPLOWO2_01_FTLL_39_12b rifcsplowo2_01_scaffold_13741, whole genome shotgun sequence.
AUGGUAUAAAUAAUACAUCCGAAGACAGUAGGCGAAAGUCGCCUUCGUCCACGCGACUACGGCGAGUCGAAGUAAGACCUACCGAGGAAUAAAUUAGCGUUAGUUAUUAGUGACUCACGUUUAGUUAACCUCGCAUUUGGCGAGGUUUAUUAUUUUAUGA